rnacentral:rRNA from 1 species
UGGGGAAUAUUGGAUAAUGGGGACAACCCUGGUCCAGCAAUGCCGCGUGCGUGAAGAAGGCCUUAGGGUUGUAAAGCGCUUUCGCCCGCGACGAUGAUGACGGUAGCGGGAGAAGAAGCCCCGGCUAACUCCGUGCCAGCAGCCGCGGUAAUACGGAGGGGGCGAGCGUUGUUCGGAAUUACUGGGCGUAAAGGGCGCGUAGGCGGCCGGAUGUGUCAGACGUGAAAGCCCCGGGCUCAACCUGGGAGGUGCGUUUGAAACUGUCCGGCUCGAGACAGGAAGAGGAUGGCGGAAUACCCAGUGUAGAGGUGAAAUUCGUAGAUAUUGGGUGGAACACCAGUGGCGAAGGCGGCCAUCUGGUCCGGAUCUGACGCUGAGGCGCGAAAGCGUGGGGAGCAAACAGGAUUAGAUACCCCUGUAGUCC